rnacentral:pre_miRNA from 14 species
AUGCAUAUUUUCAGUAUUCUCUUUGCUUUCAGCUUCUUUACAGUGCUGCCUUGUUGCAUUUAUGUCAAGCAGCAUUGUACAGGGCUAUCAAAGCGGAGAGAGCUGCAGCAAAGUGACAUG